rnacentral:rRNA from 1 species
CCUACGGGUGGCAGCAGUGAGGAAUAUUGGUCAAUGGACGAGAGUCUGAACCAGCCAAGCAGCGUGAAGGAUGACUGCCCUAUGGGUUGUAAACUUCUUUUAUAUGGGACUAAAAUGUUCCACGUGUGGGAUUCUGUAUGUACCAUAUGAAAAAGGAUCGGCUAACUCCGUGCCAGCAGCCGCGGUAAUACGGAGGAUCCGAGCGUUAUCCGGAUUUAUUGGGUUUAAAGGGUGCGUAGGUGGAUUGUUAAGUCAGUGGGGAAAGUUUGCGGCUCAACCGUUGAAGUGCAGUUGAAACUGGCAGUCUUGAGUACGGUAGAGGUGGGCGGAAUGCGUGGUGUAGCGGUGAAAUGCUUAGAUAUCACGAAGAACUCCGAUUGCGAAGGCAGCUCACUGGACUGCAACUGACACUGAGGCUCGAAAGUGUGGGUAUCAAACAGGAUUAGAUACCCCAGUAGUC